ACUCGGACCAUUUAGUUCAUUUUGAAGCAUUUAGAUAAACUGAGCAGUGACAAUUAUUAAGCUUGUGGUUAAUAUUGACGUACCAAAGCCGUUAGGAAUACAACAAGCAAUGAACUCUCAAUGUUUUAACCAUUAAAAGGAAAUUUAUAAAAAAUUAUUAAAAAUAUGUAAUACUUGGAUAAGCAAAGAGAAAACGAUAUUCAGUUCCCUCAUGCAAUUGGGUUCUGACCCGGAGUCUUGAUCUCUAUUUAUUUUCUCGCUAAUUGGACACUGAAAAAAGAUGCGCAAAAAGUUACCACGAAUGCAUUUAUAUUAUGAUGAUCAAUCACUGAUAUCAUUGGAAAAAUAAUAAAAGAACAGAGGUGGGUCCUGAACAAGACCAGUUAACAAACCAACUGGUAUCGCAAAAACAUACCAAAGCCGUUAGGGAUAUAAGAAUAUAAAUAACUAAUCGACCCUAAAUGUUUUAACCAGUAAAAGGACAUUUUUUAAAAUAACUUUGCUUAGAUAAGUAGAGAGAAAACGAUUUUCAGUGUCCCAUGCAAUUGGGUUCUGACCCGGAGUCUUGGUCAUAGAACUAUUAAGCUCUACUAGGCAGCUUUGCGGCAGCAGUGCGUCAGACCUGACAUUGACGGGGUCCACUGAAAAUAGUUGAUACUUUACUUGGAUAAGUGGAGUCGCGAGUCCAAAAUGUGCACUUUAAUAUUGAGCUGGAUUCUCAAUCUUGUUGUUAGUCAUCCCCAUAUAAUACCUCACUGACUAGACAAUGGAAAAAGAUUCAUAAAAAGUUUUCGUGAAGUCCACGGACGCAUCUAAAUUAUUAUGAUCAAUUACUGGCUUCAUUGGAAAAACGAUAAAGGAACAAAGAUAAAAUAUUAAUGGUGGGUCCCGAACAAGACUGGUUUAUCAAUCAACUGGCAUCACAAAAACCUACCAAAGCCGUUAGGGACAUAAAUAAGUAAUUGACCCUCAAUACUUUACUUGGAUAAGUAAAGAGAAAACGAUUUUCAGUCCCCCAUGCAAUUGGGUUCUGACCCGGAGUCUUGGUCAUAGAACUAUUAAGCUCUACUAGGCAGCUUUGCGGCAGCAGUGCGUCAGACCUGACAUUGACGGGGUCCACUGAAAAUAGUUGAUACUUUACUUGGAUAAGUGGAGUAGCGAGUCCAAAAUGUGCACUUUAAUAUUGAGAUGAAUUCUCAAUCUUAUCUUGUUGUCAUCCCUAUAUAAUACCUCGGUGACUGGAUACUGGAAAGAGAUGUACAAAAAGUUUUCGUGAAGUCUACGAACACAUCUAAAUUAUGAUGAUCAAUCACCGGUAUCGUUAGGAAACAAUAAAGGAACAGAUAUAUGACAUUUAUUGGUGAAUUUUGAACAAGACUAAUUAAUCAACCAACUGGCAUCGCAAAAACAUACCAAAGCCGUUAGGGAUAUAAAUAAGUAAUCGACUCUCAAUGUUUUAACUAUUAAAAGGACAUUUUUAAAAAUAACUAAAUUAAAUAAAAGUUUUUUGAAUAUAAAUUAUUAAAAAUAGUUAAUUAAUACUUUUCUUGGAUAAGUAAAAAGAAAACGAUUUCCAGUCACUCUUGCAAUUGGGUUCUGACCCGGAGUCUUGGUCAUAGAACUAUUAAGCUCUACUAGGCAGCUUUGCGGCAGCAGUGCGUCAAACCUGACAUUGAAGAGGUCCACUGAAAAUAGUUGAUACUUUACUUGUAUAAGUGGAGUCGCGAUUCCAAAAUGAGCACUUUAAUAUUGAACUGGAUUCUCAAUCUUGUUAUUAGUCAUCUUAAAGGAUAAGUAGUUUAGCAGUUUCGAAAAUUGAGUUUGUUGCUCAUAAAAAUUUGCGUUGUUAAAUAGUCCUUUCCAAUGUUCUUUCUUUAGUUAAAAUAUUUAGAGAAGAUUUUCUAUUUGUAUUCUCGCUGAUACUAACAAGAGGCGCAAGUCCAUGGUCGCAUCUAGAGUAUGUCUACCCACAACUGACACCACUGUGGUGUCAAUAAUUUUUAAGGUCACUUAUUCGGUUAGCUUUCGCGCCGAUUACACCAAUUAUGUAUAUACUGUCAAAAUUUAAAUUGUAUCAACUGUAAUCGUACACAAAUAUUCGAUUCUUAUUGCUUUAACUAUUAAAGGAAGCAUCACUUAAUAAACACACAUACACAAGUGUUUCACUAAAAGUUUCUGAAGAUCGCGAGCCUAACAAAUCGUAAACUUUUAAUAUGUGUAAAAUUGUUGGCAUUGAUCGUGACGCGUAAUCCGUACAAUGUAGACGUAGUCCCUGUAAGACGUAACGUAGAACGUAUCACGCAAUUAGCACAAAUGUUCAUUCUUUGCUUCUAAAAUUUUGCGAGUUAAAUUGCUACUUUGGUCAUAAAAUGUAAUCCGUAUAACGCAGAACGUAGUCCGUCAAUCGUAUAACGUAGACCGUAUAACGCUUAGCAAAGAUACGUAUGACGUAAAACGAAACGCAAAAACGUAGAGCGUACAACGUAAGUCAUACCAUGAUUAACGUAGCAAUUCGUAGAAACUUAAUACAUCUUGUAAACCGCAAAUUGCAAAAAUACGUUUAAAUAAAACGCAUCGGUAUCGUUGCAUAAAACGUAAGCCCGUAAGCGUGAAAGGCCACAAUUUUACUCAACUUUGAUAUGUUGUUUUGAAAUUAAAUUAAAUAUUCUUCAAAAUUUGCGUUCUUAAGUACUUAUCUUAAAUAUUCCUUCUUUAGUUAAAACAUUUACAAAAGGUUUUUUGAUCUAUUUAUAGUUGUUUAGAUUUUGGUAAAUUAUAACUUAGUAUAAGAGCUACAUGUAACUUGCUUGCUAUAAACAUCAUAUUGUUUUUUCUAUAUAUUUUUUAAUGUAAUUUAAUAGUAUGUAAAAUAUUUUCAAUGCAUUUAAACAACAACUGGAUGUAUAAUACUUUGAGGGUUGUAAGAGACGAAAAUUAAGAUGUAUAUAAAUAUUCGAUUCUUAUUGUUUAACUAUUAAAGGAAGCAUCAUUUAAUAAGCACACACACAAAUGUUUCACUAAAAGUUUCUGAAAAUCGCGAGCCUAACAAUAAGGAAACUUUUAAUAUGUGUAAAAUUGUUGGCGUUGAUCGUGACGCGUAAUCCGUACAAUGUAGACGUAGUCCCUGUAAGACGUAACGUAGAACGUAUGACGCAAUUAGCAUAAAUGUUCAUUCUUUGGUUCUAAAAUUUUGCGAGUUAAAUUGCUACUUUGGUCAUAAAAUGUAAUCCGUAUAACGCAGAACGUAGUCCGUCAAUCGUAUAACGUAGACCGUAUAACGCUUAGCAAAGAUACGUAUGACGUAAAACGAAACGCAAAAACGUAGAGCGUACAACGUAAGUCAUACCAUGAUUAACGUAGCAAUUCGUAGAAACUUAAUACAUCUUGUAAACCGCAAAUUGCAAAAAUACGUUUAAAUAAAACGCAUCGGUAUCGUUGCAUAAAACGUAAGCCCGUAAGCGUGAAAGGCCACAAUUUUACUCAACUUUGAUAUGUUGUUUUGAAAUUAAAUUAAAUACUCUUCAAAAUUUGCGUUCGUAAGUACUUAUCUUAAAUAUUCCUUCUUUAGUUAAAACAUAUACAAAAGGUUUUUUAAUCAAUUUAUAGUUGUUUAGAUUUUGGUAAAUUAUAACUUAGUAUAAGAGCUGCAUGUAACUUGCUUGCUAUAAACAUCAUAUUGUUUUUUCUAUAUAUUUUUAAUGUAAUUUAAUAGUAUGUAAAAUAUUUUCAAUGCAUUUAAACAACAACUGGAUGUAUAAUACUUUGAGGGUUGUAAGAGACGAAAAUUAAGAUGUAUAUAAAUAUUGGAUUCUUAUUGUUUAACUAUUAAAGGAAGCAUCAUUUAAUAAGCACACACACAAAUGUUUCACUAAAAGUUUCUGAAAAUCGCGAGCCUAACAAUAAGGAAACUUUUAAUAUGUGUAAAAUUGUUGGCGUUGAUCGUGACGCGUAAUCCGUACAAUGUAGACGUAGUCCCUGUAAGACGUAACGUAGAACGUAUGACGCAAUUAGCAUAGAUGUUCAUUCUUUGGUUCUAAAAUUUUGCGAGUUAAAUUGCUACUUUGGUCAUAAAAUGUAAUCCGUAUAACGCAGAACGUAGUCCGUCAAUCGUAUAACGUAGACCGUAUAACGCUUAGCAAAGAUACGUAUGACGUAAAACGAAACGCAAAAACGUAGAGCGUACAACGUAAGUCAUACCAUGAUUAACGUAGCAAUUCGUAGAAACUUAAUACAUCUUGUAAACCGCAAAUUGCAAAAAUACGUUUAAAUAAAACGCAUCGGUAUCGUUGCAUAAAACGUAAGCCCGUAAGCGUGAAAGGCCACAAUUUUACUCAACUUUGAUAUGUUGUUUUGAAAUUAAAUUAAAUACUCUUCAAAAUUUGCGUUCGUAAGUACUUAUCUUAAAUAUUCCUUCUUUAGUUAAAACAUAUACAAAAGGUUUUUUAAUCAAUUUAUAGUUGUUUAGAUUUUGGUAAAUUAUAACUUAGUAUAAGAGCUGCAUGUAACUUGCUUGCUAUAAACAUCAUAUUGUUUUUUCUAUAUAUUUUUAAUGUAAUUUAAUAGUAUGUAAAAUAUUUUCAAUGCAUUUAAACAACAACUGGAUGUAUAAUACUUUGAGGGUUGUGAGAGACGAAAAUUAAGAUGUAUAUAAAUAUUGGAUUCUUAUUGUUUAACUAUUAAAGGAAGCAUCAUUUAAUAAGCACACACACAAAUGUUUCACUAAAAGUUUCUGAAAAUCGCGAGCCUAACAAUAAGGAAACUUUUAAUAUGUGUAAAAUUGUUGGCGUUGAUCGUGACGCGUAAUCCGUACAAUGUAGACGUAGUCCCUGUAAGACGUAACGUAGAACGUAUGACGCAAUUAGCAUAAAUGUUCAUUGUUUGGUUCUAAAAUUUUGCGAGUUAAAUUGCUACUUUGAUCAUAAAAUGUAAUCCGUAUAACGCAGAACGUAGUCCGUCAAUCGUAUAACGUAGACCGUAUAACGCUUAGCAAAGAUACGUAUGACGUAAAACGAAACGCAAAAACGUAGAGCGUACAACGUAAGUCAUACCAUGAUUAACGUAGCAAUUCGUAGAAACUUAAUACAUCUUGUAAACCGCAAAUUGCAAAAAUACGUUUAAAUAAAACGCAUCGGUAUCGUUGCAUAAAACGUAAGCCCGUAAGCGUGAAAGGCCACAAUUUUACUCAACUUUGAUAUGUUGUUUUGAAAUUAAAUUAAAUACUCUUCAAAAUUUGCGUUCGUAAGUACUUAUCUUAAAUAUUCCUUCUUUAGUUAAAACAUAUACAAAAGGUUUUUUAAUCAAUUUAUAGUUGUUUAGAUUUUGGUAAAUUAUAACUUAGUAUAAGAGCUACAUGUAACUUGCUUGCUAUAAACAUCAUAUUGUUUUUUCUAUAUAUUUUUUAAUGUAAUUUAAUAGUAUGUAAAAUAUUUUCAAUGCAUUUAAACAACAACUGGAUGUAUAAUACUUUGAGGGUUGUAAGAGACGAAAAUUAAGAUGUAUAUAAAUAUUCGAUUCUUAUUGUUUAACUAUUAAAGGAAGCAUCAUUUAAUAAGCACACAUACAAAUGUUUCACUAAAAGUUUCUGAAAAUCGCGAGCCUAACAAUAAGGAAACUUUUAAUAUGUGUAAAAUUGUUGGCGUUGAUCGUGACGCGUAAUCCGUACAAUGUAGACGUAGUCCCUGUAAGACGUAACGUAGAACGUAUGACGCAAUUAGCAUAAAUGUUCAUUCUUUGGUUCUAAAAUUUUGCGAGUUAAAUUGCUACUUUGGUCAUAAAAUGUAAUCCGUAUAACGCAGAACGUAGUCCGUCAAUCGUAUAACGUAGACCGUAUAACGCAUUAGCAAAGAUACGUAUGACGUAAAACGAAACGCAAAAACGUAGAGCGUACAACGUAAGUCAUACCAUGAUUAACGUAGCAAUUCGUUGAAACUUAAUACAUAUUGUAAACCGCAAAUUGCAAAAAUACGUUUAAAUAAAACGCAUCGGUAUCGUUGCAUAAAACGUAAGCCCGUAAGCGUGAAAGGCCACAAUUUUACAUAACUUUGGUAUAUGGUUUUGAAAUUAAAUUAAAUACUCUUCGAAAUUUGCGUUCUUAAAUACUUAUCUUCAAUAUUCCUUCUUUAGUUAGUACAUUUACAAAAAGUUUUUUGAUGUAUUUAUAGUUGUUUAGGUUUAAGUAGAUUGUAACCUCAGUAUAGGAACUGUAUUUACCUUGCUAUAAAUAUAAUAUUGUUUUUUCUGUUUUUAAUGUAAUUUAAUAGUAUAUUAAAUAUUUUUAAUAAAUCUAAACAAUAUCCAAUUAAAUGUAUAAUACUUUGUGUGUUGUAAGAGACAAACAUUAUAAAUAUAUGAUUCUUAUUGUUUGAACUAUUAAAGGAAGCAUCAUUCAUAAAAGUGUUUCACUAAAAGUUUUUUAAAGAUCGCGAGUCUAACAAUGCAUAAACUUUUAAUAUGUGUAAAAUUGUUGGCGUUGAUCGUGAAACGUAAUCCGUACAAUGUAUACGUUGUCUCUGCAAGACGGAAGGACGUUUAACGCAAUUGUUACUUUGUUCGUAGAACGUAAUCCGUAGAACGCAGAACGUAGUCCGUCAAUUGUUCUAUGUAGACCCUA